UAAACCCUUCCGCCCCCCGGCUUUGUCUGGGGGUUGCGGGCUUGCUGGCGCAGGGGACUGAGGCCGCCGCGCUCCGGCGCGGGUCAGGUCCUCCCCCGCUUAAACCCGUGGAAGCUAGCGGGCAUGGUCCCGGAAUUGCGAACGACUCGUAUAACCUACCGUCGUUAUCAGCGUCCGGCCUGCCCCGCCUCCAUCAAAUUUUGGAAGAGGGAAUUUUCCCCCGACCAUUUUUUAA
rnacentral:misc_RNA from 1 species